GCAGGGUUAGAAUAAAAAUUCCUAUUUCUGUCUCAAAUAAAAUGUAUCAUAUAUUAAGAUACACUCUGCU
rnacentral:tRNA from 2 species